rnacentral:rRNA from 1 species
CGCAUCUGUGCAUGCAGCAUAUCAAUAAGCGGAGGAAAAGAAACUAACAAGGAUUCCCCUAGUAACGGCGAGUGAAGCGGGAAGAGCUCAAAUUUGAAAUCUUAAAGGGUUUCCCUUUACGAAUUGUAGUUUAAAGAAGUGUUUUCUGUUGAGGUUUUGGUAAAAGUUCUUUGGAAUAGGACAUCAUAGAGGGUGAGAAUCCCGUAUUUGACCUUUACUUUCAACUUUGUGAUACACUUUCAAAGAGUCGGAUUGUUUGGGAAUGCAGUCCAAAAUGGGUGGUAAAUUUCAUCUAAAGCUAAAUAUUGGCGAGAGACCGAUAGCGAACAAGUACCGUGAGGGAAAGAUGAAAAGAACUUUGAAAAGAGAGUUAAACAGUACGUGAAAUUGUCAAAAGGGAAGCGUUUGACACCAGUGUUGUUUUUCUGAAAAUCAAUUAAAGAACUGUUUAUGCUAAGUUGUUUAGACUUUAUCAGCUAAUCUGUUUAGUUUUGAGCUUUUCUUUAAUGCACUUUUCAGUUAACAAGUCAACAUCAAUUUCUUUUGCUGUAAAAAAGCUUGAGGAAGGUGGCUUGAGAUUCGUCUUAAGUGUUUAUAGCCUCUUGCCUAUGCAGUCGGAGAGAUUGAGGUCUGCAGCGUAGAUCCUUCGGGGCUAAAUGCAUUUGUGCUAAGUUAUAGCAUUUUAUAGACAACUUGUUGACUAUGAUUUGUCUUGUAGCUUACUCGCUUAUGUUAUUUUACCUACGCUUAGGAUGUUGAAUCUGUGCGAGACUAC